CAAUAGCGUAUAUUUAAGUUGUUGCAGUUAAAAAGCUCGUAGUUGGAUUUCUGGUCGGAAGCUCCUGUCCUCUGAUGAGCGUACAAGUGCGUCCUACCAUCCUUCUGUUAACCUUUAAGGCUUUCGCGGCUUUCUAGGGGCUCAGAUAUUUUACCUUGAGAAAAUUAGAGUGUUUCAGGCAGGCUAGCGCCGGAAUACAUUAGCAUGGAAUAAUGGAAUAGGACUUUUGCCUCUUCUGUUGGUCAUGAGGCUCGAGUAAUGAUUAAUAGGGAUAGUUGGGGGCAUUAGUACUUAACUGUCAGAGGUGAAAUUCUCGGAUUUGUUAAAGACUAACUUAUGCGAAAGCAUUUGCCAAGGAUGUUUUCAUUAA
rnacentral:rRNA from 1 species